CCGUCUAUAUAAGGUCUAACCAACCAAUAGUAGUGAGUCUUGCGUAGUUAUCAGUAAUGAUAGGUGCGAAGCGAAGACAACAAGAAAGCAGGGUUAUCUAUUGAGCCUCGAAAAUCUAGUCAGUCCAGAUGGGCGACGCCGUAAUUGGGGCGGAAGCCAAUAUCACAUAACACGCUAUGGUAAGUAUUGUGUGGCACUGCGGGGUCAAAGGG
rnacentral:ncRNA from 1 species